rnacentral:lncRNA from 1 species
GAAAAGCAUACUUGGAUUGCAAGAUUUGGUUGCCGAAAACGUCUAAACGAGCUUCGUGAAAUUUCUCACGAAAAUCGGCCGAAUUUUCGUGUUUUCCAGUGAAUGCUGGCAGUUCCAACGACAAGGGAAAGGCAGGAUUGAGAGAGGGGGAGGUGGCGGUUCCAGCGGUACCGGCCUUGUGGCCAGUGAUGCGUUAUGGUGG